AAGCAGAGUUGGGAGCAACAGAUGCUAAAGAGUAGUUGCUGUAGUUCCUCUUUGGGUCGUAGGAGCAGUUGUCAUGUUACUAUACAGCUACUGAAUGAAGAAGAGUUCUUAGUGAGGCCUGGGUGAACAGCUCUUCUUAGUAUUCUGUGUGACCCCAUUCGACCUUUUAACAAAUCCCUAAGUAAAUAAAUAGCCCCUAAGGUAAACUAGCAAAAAAAAAAGAGAAAAAACCAACAAAAAUAAACCCAAACCCCUCAAACAAUUUCGAACACAAAACAUUCUUCUCACGCCGGCAUCCCUGCUUGCAGGUGUGAAGGGGGCAGGAAUCAGCGAGGUGUCCUGGGCUGAGUCCCCGGAGUGGGAAGAGGUGGCCGGAAGGGGAUCUGAGGAGGAGAACAGGGGUCCUGGUG
rnacentral:lncRNA from 1 species